AGGUUAAUAAUUCAAGCUUCUAACUUGAAAAUAAUGAUAUAAAUCAUUUAAUCUUU
rnacentral:tRNA from 1 species